UGGGAAGGAGAACGAGAAAGAGAGGACGUUGGACUCCAUUAUGAAGAGCAAGUUGCCGGUCUCGGGGAUGCAGAAGGGGAAUGGGAAGGGCAAUGUAGCAGCUACUACGCGGCUGCCGACGGAGCUGGCAAAUUAUUCCAACAAUGUCCAAAUCGCUGAGUUGUUGUAUAGGGUAAAAAAGAAACCUCUGCCUUGACGUCUCCCUAACCCCACCGGCGCUGACGUGCGUGCCAGAAUCGCCGUUGCCUCCGGCUCGCAAACUACUAUGAGAGGGAGGUUACAUCUUCCCAGGCAAUGGAGCAUGAUAGCAAGCGGAGGAGGAUCAUGAAGAGGUGGAAGAGGAGGAGGACCAGGACGAGGAAGAGCAAGAUACUUUGUUUGAGGUGACUAUAGGAGUUCUUUGAAACCAGAAAUGGUGGAAGCCUUGGUGUGCGGUGCUAGUUAUAUCAAAGGUUCUGACAAGGACUUCAAUGUGGUGGAGAGGGAUGAAUAUAAGGAGGACGAUGUUGAGAAUAUCAAGUUGCCCAAGAUUGCUAAUGUGGGGGAUAACAACAAUUGACAUUCGUGAUGAGGGUGUUGCUCUUGCUGUUUUGAAGAUGGAUGUCUACAUGAUCUUGUCACGUGGAUUGUUGAGGUCAAUGUGAUCAUCUCGUGUCAUUUCUUUUGUUGUGAUGAACUUCGAGUUAUGUGUUUGUUGUGAUGAAUUUUGAAUUAUGUGUUUGUUGUGAUGAACUAUGGACCUUCAAUGAUGUUGUGGUGAGCCAUGCUUUUUCAACGAUGUUGUAGUGAAUUUGUGAUGAACUAUGAACUUUGUAUUAUGUGGUUUUCACUAGUCAAUGU